UUGACAUUGGCUACAGACAUUUUGAUACUGCUGCUCUUUAUGGUACUGAAGAACCUCUAGGCCAAGCUGUGUCAAAGGCUUUAGAGCUAGGCCUCGUUAAAAAUCGCGAUGAACUCUUCAUUACUUCCAAGUUAUGGUGUACUGAUGCUCAACAUGACCUUGUUCUCCCAGCUCUCAAAACCACCCUCAAGCAAGCAUAAUUUUCUUAACCUUUUUUCUACUUCUUUCUAGUUUGUGCAUUUUAUUACUUGCCUAAUAUUAUUGUUUUGGUUUUUUUGGAUUGAAAUUUUUAGAAAUCUGGGAUUGGAGUAUGUUGAUCUCUAUUUGAUUCACUGGCCAGUAAGGUUGAAACAAGAUGCUGAAAGCUUAAAAUUUAAAAAGGAGGAUAUGAUUCCCUUUGAUAUAAAAGGAACAUGGGAAGCUAUGGAAGAAUGUUAUAGAUUGGGCCUAGCAAAGUCUAUUGGUGUCAGUAACUUUGGUGUCAAAAAGCUCUCCAUACUCUUAGAAAAUGCCGAAAUCGCUCCUGCAGUUAAUCAGGUAAAAGAAUUUAGCACUAGUUGAUUUGAUUCAUUUUGACAUAUAGAUCAAAUACACUUAAUUGGUUGCCUAAGUCACUUCAAAAUCGAAAAGCAUCAGACAUGUAUAAACGUAUCCGAUACUGAUACAUGUCAGACACUUCCCUAUAUGAAAAGUAUCCAAUAAUUUAUUCUCAUUCUUUCUAGAAAUAUUUCCACUGAAACUUCUCGAAUACAUUUUCAUUACUUUCGUACCGACUAAGCACACAAUUGUCAUCUAUAUAUGAUACAUCUUACUAAUCAUAGAGACACAGUGUUAUAUGUUUUUGUUACAAAUUUUUGUUUGGAUUUAGGUGGAGAUGAACCCAUCAUGGCAACAGGGGAAACUAAGAGAAUUCUGCAAGCAGAAAGGAAUCCAUGUGAGUGCAUGGUCACCACUAGGAGGAUACAAACUAAGUUGGGGUUCGCCUACAGUGAUGGAGAAUCCAAUUCUGCACGAAAUUGCAGAGGCUAGAAAGAAGAGUGUAGCCCAGGUGCAGCUCAUUAUUUUAUUUCCUAUGUUUAGCCAAUUAAAAUUUUAAUAAGGUUUUUAAAAUAUACAUCCCUUAUUUGUUUUAAAAUUCAGCUUCUUUUUUUAAAUGGUCAAACUUUAGUCUUGGUCAUAGAAGUCCUAAUAUAAUAUCACAUCAUGAACCAGCUCUUCAAAACCUUAGAUUGUUAGGUGAGAAUAAAUAAAUGGUUCUAUAUUUGAUAUCUUUUAACAGUUGAAACUUAUCAAAGUCAUAUACAUAUACUACUACUACUACUAUAUUGAGAUGACUGUUACACUGAAAGAAAGUCUAUUUCUAAUAUUGACAUAUAUUAUGCAGAUAGCACUAAGAUGGAUAUACCAGCAAGGGGCAAUUCCCAUUGUGAAAAGCUUCAACAAGGAAAGGAUGAAACAAAACAUUGAAAUAUUUGAUUGGGAAUUGAACCAAGAAGAAUUAGACAAAAUCAGUCAGAUUCAUCAAAGCAGAUUUCAAAAGGCAGAAAUAUUUGUAUCUGAUAAUGGACCUUACAAAACCUUGGAAGAGCUGUGGGAUGGUGAUGUUUGAGCAAACUCUUGUUUGAAUAAAUGAUGGGAUCAUGGAAAGUGUAUGAGCUGCUGAAUAGUUAUAAGUAGUAAAAUAAUGCAAAAAGGGUUUUGCUCAAGAGAUUAAAGACAUCACAAAUAAGAUUUAAAUUGUACUCAAAUCCAAGUUCCUUAUGUAAGUGACCUUAAAUAAGAGAAAACACUAAGAAGGGUAAUCUAAAAACAUGGAUCUAAUGACUAUUCCUGGACUAGAGAAUCACAUGGCAUGCUAUCUCAAAUAACUGAUACAUUAUACUUCCUUUCAAUGUAUAAAUCAUGCUAAGGGUUAUCAAUCCCUACAAAGCAUGAAGUAUGAAAUCAUUACUUACAAUUUAAUCUUUAAAUUAAUCACGCGUAGAAGUUUAUUCUGUGUAUAAAUUCUUAUUGAUUAAUUCUACUUUAUCUCUCUUUAGCUCUUGUGAAGUACAGUAAUUUGAUCUAAAUUCUGUAAACUCGAAAAUUAACUCGUGCAUAUACUGAAAUUUAAAGACUAAACUUAAACCAGAAGUCAGUAGAUAUUGCCUUUCUUUGGCAGAAAACAACGUGGAUCCUACUCCACUAGUUCAACGGUCAAUUUCCUUCCAACAAAAUCAAAGCAACAGAGUUCUUUUAAUAAAUAUAUACUGAGUCCUAAGAUUGCGAUUGCGUAAAGGUUACUUAACAAUCCAACAAAUCUAUUACUGAUCCAAAACCAGUAGAGACUCCCAGAUGGUUUUGAAAUAAAACAUAUUUUCGUCGUUCAUAGUAAAGUAAAAUUUGUUUUUUUCGUGAAUUAUGGAAUAGGAAAAAAACUAAGCAUAUGCAAGUCAAAUAAGUCUCUUCGUAUUAUAUUUCUGCGUAUAAGUUUAAUUUGCAAUACAAAUUAACUGAAAAGUUUCCUAAGCAAGUCAUAAUCUCUCUGUUUAUAAUAACCUGACUCGGUUGUUUUUCUAUUUUUUUUCUUCAUUUAAAUAAGGUAGACUAAGUAAGUGCCUGCUGUACAAUUUUUCCUCAAAUAAUCUAUUUCAGUUCCUUCUUCUGAAGAUGUUAGCACAGAUUCAAACGAGAAGUAAUAUUUAAGAAAACGUCUUCUCUGCAAGGAAUUGUGAGACCACCGGUUGGAUGGUCAUAUCCAAAUUGUUCCUCGGCUUGAUUCAACAAUUCUUGAAAUGACGGUUGGUUCAAGUAUGAUAUUGGGAUCACAAACCUCUUCAUUUCAUCCCCAACAUAUACUGCAAUAUAUCCCUUUGGCACAUUCGUGCAUUUUGAAGAUGCUUGGUUUGAAGCCCUUUUUGAGACAACAGGUAAUCGGAAACCCAUUCUUGUAUAUAUGUGUUUUUAAAAGAAGAUAUUGAGCUAAGAGUGAAAGACUUGUGUAUAAGAAGAUUGUUUCUGAAUAUCAAAUAUUUUGGGUUGUGAAUGAUAUUGUGUUGGUUAUAAAAGCUUGCAGCCAUGAAUAUAUAUAUAUAUAGAUGAGUGAAAGGAUAUGGACCAAGCAGUCGGCAACUUGAAUGAUCAGUGAAGGAGGACCAUGAGAUUUGAGUCAUUGGGAGCCAUAGAACCUAAGGUAGACAAGGACAUAUAAUAGUUCACAUGGUGUUACCUUUGAAGAUUAUCUAAAGGGUCAACAUCAAAUGUCAAAAUAGUAGAUCAUGCAUGUCCCACCUCCUUAAGUAGAGGACAUCGUAUAUAUAAUUUUUGUUGUUGUUCAUAAAAAACAAUAUAUAUAUAAUUAAUCCACUUGAAAUAAAACGCAUGAUCACAAACAUGUAGUAUGGUGUAUGUAUGAUCUCUAGAUGUUGAGAAGAUAAAUGACCUACCAGCUGGACAUCAACAUUAUCAAGAUGAAGAAACAUGUAUAAUGCAUGUUUACAAAAUUAUGAAAACCAAUAAUUUGGAUGUAUUUAGAAAACCAAUUUCAAUACUUUUCUGUAACAUCGAAAAUUCCAGAGUUCGAUCCAUUUAUCUGUUUAAUGCUUUUUUUGACUAAACCAAACCAAUUUCAAUAGUUUAUAUAUAAUAAUAAGUCGAGCCUGUCAAGGUGAAAAAGUAAAAAUUUAAUUUUGAUGGUCGUUUGAUUCUUUUGAAGUCUGUCAUAUACAUCCUCUAUUAUUUUAUAAUGUUUUUUUUUUGGUGGGUCGAGGAUUUUAGAAAAAUUCUUUGGGUCAGUUGGGACUCUAUUUGUUUGGGCAAGGAGGUCAGUGGUUUGGGGGUUAGGAGAAGGCGGGAGUUUAACCUUGUUUUAUUAGGCAAAUGGUGUUAGAGGAUGUGUGUGGAAAGAGGGAGUUUGUGGUAUAAAAUUUUAGUGGUUAGGUAUACUGUGAGGUAGGGGGCGGUUGAAGGAAGGCAUGAGGGAAGUGACAGUGUGGGAGAUUUUCUUAAAUAACCCACACCCAUUUUAAUUUUCCAAACACAUAAAUCUCCCAUCAUUUUAUUCAUUUCAAUGACUUUAUAAAUAUACAAUUUAAUUUCAGUCAUUUUGGUUUGUUUGCAUCUGUUUUCUCUUUUUACAAUUAAGUUAAAUGAAGUUUUUUUCUCUCGCAAUAAACAAACAGUAACAACAUUUGGUUUUAACUACUAAAUAGAAUCAAACAUCGGCAAUUACAGAAGAGAUUAAAAGAGAAUAUAGAAAUGAGAAUUUUUUUUGUUGAUGGACAUUGUGGUUAAUCAAUGAAAAAGAAAUAAUAUUCGAUAUAUCCGUUUUAUUACUUUAGAGUUUAAAAAUUAAACCACCUUGACUAAGGAACAAUAAGUUGGGAAAAUUCACCAAAGUGAAAAAUAGAAAGAAAAAAAGGUCAAAAACUAAGUGAGUUCAUACUCGUAUGAAGAAGUUAAUUGCUCAAAAAAAAUGGAAUUAAUAAAGUUUAAACUGUGUUAUAUUAUAUGGGAGGUGCUUGUCAAUUUGAUAAAAAAAAAAAAGAGAGAUUAGUGUUUAGUUAAAAAAUAGAACGGGUGUUUGUGUUAUUUAAGAAAACCUUACGGGAGGUUAGUGUAAUUUGCCCAUAAUUUUUUUAAGAGUAAUUUGCCCAUGAUAAAAUCAUUGAAAUAAUUGUUAUUAAAUAAUAAAGAUUUCUUUAUUGAUAAAGAUGUCGUUAGAAGCCUCGUAUAUGAAUUGUACAAACUAUAUUAUUUAGUGAUUCAUUUAUCAUUUUUUUUAGUGUUUUUUAUAGUCAAGAUAUAAUAAUUAAUAAUCUACAACAAUAAAAAAUAUUAUUUUAUAAUAUGACAUGGUGGCCUGAGGAUUCAAGGUGCUUGUUUGCCUACACCUGUUUCUUCAACUCGAAAGAGCUUUUAUGCUUGCGGAUUUGUUCAGGGAGUUUUUGGCACUUGGAUUUUGAUAUCGUGUUGACAGUUGAUCCAUUUAUUGUUCUUCACAGAUGUUCAUUUUUAAUUUUUUUUUCAAAUAUGGCUUCGCGCCUGUAUACGGAUUCACCGGUUUGCGUCUGUGAUUAGUGAACUUUUUUAAAAUAGAUUAGGAUCGAUACAUUUGAUCUGAUUUAUUAUGUUGUAUCACCGUUUUGGGUUGCACCUGAUUCAGGACUAAUACCCCUAGCAUCUUUAUCUAUUUAUUUUUUUAUUUAAUAUAAUUUUCCUUUUGAAAAAAAAAUAAAAUAAAGAAAAAACAAAGGAAAAUUAUUUUUAAAAAAGAAGCAAUCUUGAAAACGUGUAAUUUUUUUGAAAAGUAGGCAUAUGCCUUCUAAUGAAUAUUUUGUAACUUUCUUGAAGUUAUGUUUCAUUUUUUUUUUUUUUUUUUUUUUUUUUUUUAAGAAUGAAGUUAUGUUAUUUUGUGAUUACCAAUCAUAUAUAAUUGAACAUUUUUUUCUUCUUUAUUUUGUUAGUGAAAAUAUUUUUUCAGUGUCUUGUUAGUAUCAACGAUAAUUGUCUCAACCGUAUUUUUUUAUUUUACUGAUAAGUGAAACAUAUUUAUUAAAAUUUAUAUUUAUAAAUAUUUUUUUAGAUUAAAUAUGUAAAUAAUUGUCAUUUUUUUAUUGAAUUACCUACAAAAGAAAAACUCAUACGAAAGUAGUUCUUUUUUUUGGUCAAGUAGUCUAGUGACUAGCUAGAGCUCACACAAUUAAAUUGUGGAGAAGUAGAAUGUUCGGGGUUCGAACCCUGACCUCUGCAUAUAAUAUUCAAUAUCCCUACAAAUUGCAAAGAGAAAAUAUAAUAGGAAGAUUGUUAUAUUGCAUUUCAGUAUCGUAAAAGAGAAAAUAUAAUAUGAAGAUUGUUAUAUUGCAUUUCAGUGUGAGAUAAAAGCAUAUGAACAUCAUAAAACUUUUUUUUUGGUACAAUCUUAAAACUUAUUUUUAACAAAUGUAAAUUGAAUAUAUGGUCCCCUUUUAAUAAGUAUCAUAAAACUUAUAUUGAUAUUCAAUCAUUUAGAGGUUAUUUUUAGAGCUUUUUUAAAAAACAUGAUCAAUUAUCACUACAAGAAAAAAAACAAGAUUUGCUACCCAAAACUUGCUAUAAAAUGUUUUUUUUUUUUUUGGUACUGAGCUAUAAAAUGUACUUUUUUUUUUGGUAGUGAGCUAUAAAAUGAAUUGGUAGUUAAUUUAGGAGAAAACUUAGGUACAAUUUCUUAUGUGCUUUUUGUAUAGUUCUUAACUAAAAAUACAUUUUUUUUGGAUAUAACAAACUUUGAGAAAAUUAUGAAUUUGAGGAAAUUAUGGUAAAUUUAGUUAAGAACCAUACGAAAAGCACCUAAGGAAUUGUACUUAAGUUUUCUCCAUAUUAAAUCUCUUAGCUACCAUUUGACCUUGACCAUUUAAUUUUUAUUAUUUUUUAUAAAUAUAUAUAUAUAUAUAUAUAUAUCAAUAACAAUCACUUCUUUGAAAAAGAUAUUUGUCUGAAUACAACUAUAUAAAACAUAUUUCUUUUACAAAUUUAUCUUCAUUUUUUUAUACUUAUUUUCUCCCUCUCUUAUAUUUUUUGAAAAGUUACUAUAACCUCUUUUCAUUUAAAGACUCUUUUAGACUUUUUUAACCUGGUUUUAAAAAAAAUUAUAAUAAACAAGCACAAUGCUCUUUAAUUUUUUUUUUUAAGUUAUAGCAAACCCUUUGGGGCUUGUUUGUUACGAAUUAAAAUGAAAAUAUUAUUGAAAUUCAUAAUUUAGUGAUUUUUAAAAUUUUUAUAAAAAAAAUCAUAAUCUAUUUUGUGUUUGCUUAUUGUAAUAAAAUCAUUUUUUUAAAUAAUUUAAUUUAUUUAGAUAUAUCAAUAUAAAAGGAACUUUUUUGUUACAAAAUCACAUCAAUCUUUUAAAAGUUAUUUUCUCUCUCGACUAAAUAGGAUAUUUUGUUACAAAAGACACAGAAAGGUUAACAUAUGUCGAGAUAUCAAAAAAUUAAGAUGGGGCAAAAGUGUGUUUUUACUGAUUAUUAACUUUGAUAAUUAGAGAAAGAUAAUAGAUUAGUGUGUUUUAAGUUGAAUUAUAGGAAAACUUGUUUUAAUUGGGAUAAGAUUAAGUUUGUUUGUUGUUAAAAAAAAGAUUAGGUUUGUUUGUUCUUUAAAAUAAGAUUAAGUUAGUGUGUUUGAUUGAGUGAGUUUGUUUUAGUUUGUUUUUAAGAGAGAAAAUAGAAGGUGGUUGAAGUGAAAGACAUAAAAGAAUAUAAUUUUGAAGACAUGUCAAAAAAUUAAGAAGAGAUAAAAUUGUAUUUUUUAUGAUCAUUAAAUUUCAUAAGUCGAGAAUAGAUGACACCUACAUGAAGCAACAGCCUAGAAAAAUCCUAACUAUCAACUUCCUUUAACCGUUAUUCGUUAUCAAAGCUUACUUCCCUCCUAAGUAAACGCUAGCGCCUACUAAAUUAAAUCUCAAUCUAGUUAUCCACUUAUUAUAAUCCCCUUUUUUUCAGUAAUCGUAACCACUAUAUAAAGACUCACUCAGCACCCAACUUAACAUAUCAUAACAUACCAUACUACCAUCAAGUUCAAGUCAGAAGAAGAAGUCAUGAAUCAUCGUAACCAAACUUUCAUGCUGUUCUCUGUCCUUUUCCUGUUCUUCUCUGUCGACUUGGCAUUCUCGAUGCCGAAGGAUAGAGAAGAUCCAAUAAUCCAGCAGGUGGUCGAUAAGGGAGGAGCUGAGUAUCAAUUUAAUGAAUUCAAGCAAAGGUUUGGUAAGGUUUAUUCCUCCAAAGAUGAACAUGAUUAUAGGUUCAACGUCUUCAAGUCUAACCUUCACCGUGCUAAGAGACAUGGGAUAAUGGAUCCUUCAGCAACUCAUGGUGUUACAAGAUUCUCCGAUCUUACUCCGAGGGAGUUUCGUAAUAGCAUCUUGGGAUUAAAAGGAGUAGGGUUACCGAGACAUGCAAAAGCUGCACCUAUUCUUUCGACCGAGAACCUUCCUCGUGAUUUUGAUUGGAGAGAAAAAGGAGCGGUUACCCCGGUUAGGAAUCAGGUAUAUAUUGUUUCUAAUUAUGAUUAUUAUUGUUGCUGUAAUUUGUUUAUUGUUUUGUUUAAUAUUUUUAUUUUGGAUUUGUAACUAUGAAUUAGGGUUUCUGCGGUUCAAGUUGGAGUUUCAGUACGAUUGGUGCACUCGAAGGUGCUCACUUCCUCUCUAGCGGAGAACUUGUGAGUCUUAGCGAGCAACAUCAUGUUGACUGUGAUCACGAGUACAUUCAAAAAUAUGGUGGGCUGAUGCGAGUGGAGGACUAUACUUAUUAUAAGACAAACACUGCACGAUCGGUGGCGGCAAAUUUCAGUUCUAUUUCGGUUGAUGACAACCAAAUCACCGCCAAUCUCGUUAAACAUGGACCUCUUGCUGGUCAGUAAUACUCUAAACAAUUUGAAUUGUAAUUAUUAUUACUAUUAUUUUCUUAUAAUUGUCUAAUUCAAAUGUUCACAAAUGCAGCUGCAAUAAACGCGGUAUACAUGCAGACAUACGUGGGAGGAAUAUCAUGCCCAUACAUAUGUACAAGGAGGCUGGAUCUUGGAGUUUUGCUUGUGGGGUAUGGUUCUGGAGCUGGAGCUGAUAUGAAGGAGAAGGAGAAGCCGUAUUGGAUCGUUAAAAACUCGUGGGGUGAGACCUGGGGAGAGAACGGAUACUACAAGAUUUGCAGAGGACGAAAUAUCUGUGGAGUGGACUCAAUGGUUUCUACUGUGGCUGCUGCUCACACUACUACUCAGUGACAGUAGUAUGAUUUCUAUCUCAUACAUGUACCAACCUUCAUUUCAUUUCAAGACUUGUUGAAUAUGAUCAUCCAAUGGUUGGCCUUCCUAUUCCUUGCACCGAAGAUGUCUUCCAGCACAUAAUGUCUCGCUUGUAAAGCUCACACUAUUGUUGGAGACUGGCAUAGUUUACUGUUAGUAGAUCCAUUUUGAACAUGAGACAUCUUAUCAAAUUGUAAAGACCCUACAGAGAUAGGAAAUGUAAUUAUCAUAAAAAUGAUAGAUUUUGACUAUGCAUUUUUCGUUUGAUGAAUAAUGACAAUGAAUUCGACUUUUCAAGUAGCUCCUAUGUUUUUUGUUUGUUUUAUGUUAAAAUUUUCACUCUUCCUUGCAGUCAGACCUUCCAAAAUAUAAGCAGGACUGCUUGGUAUCAGAAAAAACCGACUUGGUGUUCUGAUAAAUUUCAAAGCACGAACAGUACACAUGAAAGGGCAGAACCGUUGUAUUUUUGUAUGGCUCAAACAUGAAAGUUAAAUUUCAGGAAAAAAAUUAUUUUAAUAACUAUAUAAUAUAGAUAAGAAAUUUAAGAUUUGGAGUGCCAAAGUCCCAAUCAUAGUUCCCUUCAUAGGCAAGUGCACAAUAACAAUGACUUAGAAUUGAGGUUAGUUAAUCCCUUGAAUAACACAUUCUCAGUCUACAGCAAAAACUUGUUUUGCUACCUUUGAUGCAUGGUUUAUCUGUAGUCCAUGACUGUAUCUUUUCUACUCUCUAAGUUUUGUUUACUGAAAUUUUAGAUAUACCUCUAAAUUUCCAAAAUUUAUUGAUCAGUUUGUACUUAUCAGAUUUUGAUGCUAGUUGUGGUUAAGUUUAAUUGAAGUUUCUCUACAAUUUCAAAUUUUAUCAUUCUAUUUUUUAAUUAAUUCCAGUGGCUAAAAUAGAAAAUAAAUAAAAAAAUUCUAAUCUAACAAGUACUUCAAGAAACCAAAUUCACUUUACAAUGGACUUGUUUGAUACCAAAUUCAGGUUGUUUAUUUGGCACAACUAUGGGACCAACAUGUCUACCAAUUUCCAAUUUCCAAAUUCAGUUUGUGUUAUUAUCUUAUCUCAAAUUCAUUAUUUUGUAGCUAUAUGGUAGAUUUCAUGGGUCAUAUAUUUUGUAACUCUAGGAUCAACAUGUCUAUCAAAUUUGAGGAACCUAUCUGAUAGAAUAUUGUCAGAAAAUUUUGGCAUUCUCUUAUCUCGAAUUCUCUAUUUACUAGUUAUCAUGUAGACAUAGAAUAUUUUCAGAAAUUGUGGACUUCCCUUAUCUCAAAAUCCAUUGUUUAGUAGCUAUAUGGUCGAUUUCAUGGUUCAUAUAUCAGAGCCUAAUUUGAGGAAUCUAUGUGAUAUGUCUUGAACUUGUCAUGUUGCAAGAAUACAAUUAUUGGCUUAUUGGCUGUAAAGUCUCCUAUAUCUUUCUAUAUAUACUCAUCAUUACAUUCUCAAGCAGCAUUACAAGUCACAAAUACAAUUUCAAAAGUUUCUUGCUUUCAUACACAAGCUGUUGUAUUCAUCGUUAUUGUGUUGCAACUCUUAAUAACAAUAUGGGAUUCCGUUUACCUGGUAUUAAAAUGUCAUCGUCUUCCAAGGCUGUGGAUGAAGUUUCAAACUGAAGCUGUUUGUGAUUUCCAUUUUAUUAUUGAACCAACCUUCAUUUCAAGAAUAAUAAUUAAGCCAAUUAGCAGAAGAAUUCUAAGAGCUCACAUCUCGCUUCAAUGUUAAAUCUCACAAACUCUAACGAAGACUUACAUAGAUAUUAGUUAGCUAAGACUAAUUGUACAUCAGAUAUCUUCAUUUUUCAUUCUUUUCUUAAUGGAAAUGACAGCUAACUGAGAUAGUUAUGAACAGAGAUUUUUGACUUGUCGGUCAAAUUUCAAAGAACUCUGUAUACAUCUUAUUUUUGCACAAAAGAUUAUAUAUAGAAACAGAACCCUUUUUACAAAUUCUCUCUUGGUUUUCUUUGUUUUAUUACUGCUUAUUAUAUCUGCUUUUCUGUGUGUAUAUAAACACCAAUUUUCAUUGGUCUUUGAAACUAGCUCAAAAGUUUAUUAUAAAGUUCGAGCCAACACAAAUGUAUCCUAUGUGGUGAAGUUUUCACCCAAAACCCCUAGUUUCAGACCCAAAAGCCCUAGCUAUCCAUUUCACCUGAAAUCCCUUCGUCUAUUAACCAUUCCUUGAAAGAAAGGCACCUGUUUGUUUGCGGUUUGAAAAAGGUAUGAAUGAGAUGCACGCUUGUAAUUUGUACCAUCUAUUGUCUGUGCUAGUCAGAGGAUGAUAUAAAGGCUCGGCGAGACUGAAAAGAGGAAGAUCUAUCAAUUAUGUCAAGGGACAACUCUUCAGUCUAGUUGAUUAUAAGAAUAAAUUACUCUUAUACAUUGAGUAGUUGAUAAAAAUGUUUUUUUGUCUUGUUCAUCCAUUAGAAUAUUUCUGCCAAUAACAACAAACAAUGUUGCUUGCUAUAUUAAUUCAUGACUCAAUCAAACCCCUUCUAUAAACAAAACAAACAUUCACUAUCUUGCUUUGUCAUAGAGGACACACACUCAAUAAUCAAUAUUAAAAUAAUAAUAAUACUAACAACAUCUUCUUUGCGUUUUGAACUAUUAUUUAUAGUCACAUUGUGAAUUGUACGAAGCUUAAGCCUUGAACCAACACAAAAAAGAAGAUGGAAAUAAACAAAGUUCCAGAGGUGAUACUAAAUUCAGGGAAAAAUAUGCCAAUGAUAGGUUUAGGGACAUCAACAAGUCCCUCUCCACCACAUGAAGUCCUCACCUCAAUUUUGGUUGAUGCCAUUAAAAUAGGCUACAGGCAUUUUGAUACUGCUUCUAUCUAUAAUACUGAAGAACCUCUAGGCCAAGCUGUGUCAAAAGCUUUAGAGCUAGGCCUCGUUAAAAAUCGCGAUGAACUGUUCGUUACUUCCAAGUUAUGGUGUACUGAUGCUCACCAUGACCUUGUUCUCCCAGCUCUCAAAUCCACUCUCAAGCAAGCAUAAUUCUCUUAACCUUUUUUUCUUCUUCUUUUAAGUUUGUGUAUUUUAUUUGUCUAAUAUUGUUGUUUUGGUUUUUUGGAUUGAAAUUUUUUAGAAAUCUGGGAUUGGGGUAUGUGGAUCUCUAUUUGAUUCACUGGCCAGUAAGGUUGAAACAAGACGUUGAAGGCCAUAACUUUAAAGGUGAGGAUACAAUUCCUUUUGACAUAAAAGGAACAUGGGAAUCUAUGGAAGAUUGUUAUAGAUUGGGCAUAGCAAAGUCUAUUGGUGUCAGCAACUUUGGUAUCAAAAAGCUCUCCAUGCUCUUAGAAAAUGCCGAAAUUGCUCCUGCAGUUAACCAGGUAUAUGAAUUUAGUACUACUUGAUUUGAUUCAUUAUGCCUCAGUUGCUUCAAAAUGGAAGAGCAUCAUACACGUAUCGUCAGAUAUUUCCCAAAACUUAUAGUAUCCAAUAAUUUAUUGUAAUUCUUUCGCAAAAUAUUUCCUUCGAUACUUUUUUACCAACUAAGCACGCAAUUGUCAUCUAGAUAUGAUAUAUCUUACUACUUAUAGACACAACGAGCAUCAUACAAAUUCAUAUUUGGAUUUAGGUGGAAAUGAACUCAUCAUGGCAUCAGGGGAAACUUAGAGAAUUCUGCAAGCAGAAAGGAAUCCAUGUGAGUGCAUGGUCACCACUAGGAGGCUACAAACUAAGUUGGGGUUCGCCUGCAGUGAUGGAGAAUUUGAUUCUGCGCAAAAUUGCUGAGGCUAGAAAGAAGAGUGUAGCCCAGGUGCAGUUGAUUAUUUUAUUUCAAAUUAUUUUUAAUGAUAACUAUGACCUAUGUUAAUUCAAUUUAGAUUUUAAUGAAGUUUUAAAAUAUGCAGCCCUGUUUUAUAAUUCAAGUUUUUUUUUUCAAUGGUCAAACUUUAGACUUAGUCAUAGAAGUGCUAAUGCCACAUCAUGAACCUUAGAUUGUUAUGUGAAACAAAUAAAUAGUUUUAUAUUGAAACUUCAUAAAGUCAUACAUAUACCACUGUAUUGAGAUUACUGUUACAUUGAUAGUCUUUCUCUAAUAUUGACAAAUAUUAUACAGAUAGCACUAAGAUGGAUAUACCAGCAAGGGGUAAUUCCCAUUGUGAAGAGCUUCAACAAGGAGAGGAUGAAACAAAACAUUGAAAUAUUUGAUUGGGAAUUGAACCAAGAAGAAUUAGACAAAAUUAAUCAGAUUCCUCAAUGCAGACUGCUAAAGGCAGAAAUGUUUGUAUCUGAUAAUGGACCUUACAAGUCAUUGGAAGAGCUGUGGGAUGGCGACCCUUAAGCGAAUUCUUGUUUAAAUAUUCGAUGGGAUCAAUGCAAGUGUAUGUACUGAAUAAAUUAUUGUUUAAAUUCCUUAUGCAAGUGAAAUUUUAACUUUGAUUAAUAUCGUUAAUUCCUUAGUAUCGUUAAUUCCUUAGCUGACAUUAAAUAAGAGAAAACACUAAGAAGGAUUUAGUUACUAUUCAUGAACUAGAGAAUCAAUGGUAUGCUAGUUUAUUCUUUUCAUGUGUAUCUUUAGCUGAUUAAGCUUUUACGUCGAUUGGAUAAAUGACUUAAGAAUUUUUUAUGGAGUGGUGAUAUUUCCAGAAGGAAAAUUCUGUCCUGUUUCUUUUGCAGACCCUCGGCUUACCAUGGGAGGUGGGUGGCCUUGACCUGCGUUCUUCCACUACGUGAAAUAAGGGAUUUAGCCUCAGUCAUUUGGGAUCAGUCGCACCUGACUAACGUCAAGCAACAAAUUAUGCGCUAUUUCCCAUCACUCAAAUGUAGAAUAGCGCCUACAACAAAUACGUGGUAUGUAUUAGCCAAAAAAUUGGUUCGAGCCAACACAAAUGUAUCCUAUGUGGUGAAGUUUUCACCCAAAACCCCUAGUUUCAGACCCAAAAGCCCUAGCUAUCCAUUUCACCUGAAAUCCCUUCGUUUAUUAACCGUUCCUUCAAAGAAAGGUACCCCUAGUUCAACACAAAUGUAUGAAUGAGAUGCAUGCUUGUAAUCUGUGCCAUCUAUUGCCUGUGCUAGCUAGAGGAUGAGAUAAAGGCUCGCUGAGACUGAUAAGAGGAAGAUCUCAUCAUAAGUGUAGUUGUUCACAGAUAACAGUUAUGUCAAGGGACAACUUUUCAGUCUAAUUGGUUAUAAGAAUAAAUUAGUCUUAUACAUUGAGUAGUUGAUAAAAGUUUUUUUUGUCUUGUUCAACCAUUAGAACAUUUCUGCCAAUAGCCAACAAAAAAUGUUGCUUGCUAUAUUAGUUCAUCACUCAAUCAAACCCCUUGUAUAAACAAAACAAACAUUCACUAACUUGAUUUUUCAUAGGGGACAAAUACUCAAUAAUCAAUCUUAAAAUAAUAAUAAUAACAACAACAACACCAACAACGUCUUCUUUGCGUCUUGAACUUGUAAUAUAAUGGAAUUGCUUGCCUUUUCAUUAUGUGAAUAGAAUAUCUGUAUACAUGUGCAGGUCAACUAUCUAAUUAUGAUACAGCAUAAUUACAGGAAAAUAAUUAUAACUAAUUAUGACUAAUAUUCUAUUCUAUCAGAACUAUCAUCAAUAAAUUGUAUGAAGCUUAAGCCUUGAAAUCAACAAAAAUAAAAAAAGAUGGAAGCAAAGAAAGUUCCAGAGGUGAUACUAAAUUCAGGGAAAAAGAUGCCAAUGAUAGGUUUUGGAACAUCAGAAAAUCCCUCUCCACCACAUGAAGUCCUCACCUCAAUUUUGGUUGAUGCCAUUGAAAUAGGCUACAGGCAUUUUGAUACUGCUUCUGUCUAUAAUACUGAAGAACCUCUAGGCCAAGCUGUGUCAAAAGCUUUAGAGCUAGGCCUCGUUAAAAAUCGCGAUGAACUGUUCGUUACUUCCAAGUUAUGGUGUACUGAUGCUCACCAUGACCUUGUUCUCCCAUCUCUCAAAACUACCAUCAAGCAAGCAUAUUUCUCUUAACUUCUUUUUUUCCGCUUCUUUUACGUUUGUUAUUUUUAUUACUUGUCUACUUUUAUUUUUGGGUUGAAAUUGUACAGAAAACUGAAGUUGGACUAUGU
rnacentral:lncRNA from 1 species